CCCUAGAUGACUCAGUUGGAAGAGCAUGAGACUGUAAAUCUCAGGGUCAUCGGUUCGAUCCCGAUUCGAGGGA
rnacentral:tRNA from 1 species